rnacentral:tRNA from 1 species
AUGGGUUGGGCUCAGUGGUAAAGCACUCACUUAGCAUGUAUGAGGCACUGGGUUCGAUUCUCAGCACACAUA